UGGGUGAGUAACACGUGGGGAACCUACCCCUAAGUCUGGGAUACCAUUUGGAAACAGGUGCUAAUACCGGAUAAGAAAGCAGAUCGCAUGAUCAGCUUUUAAAAGGCGGCGUAAGCUGUCGCUAAGGGAUGGCCCCGCGGUGCAUUAGCUAGUUGGUAAGGUAACGGCUUACCAAGGCAACGAUGCAUAGCCGAGUUGAGAGACUGAUCGGCCACAUUGGGACUGAGACACGGCCCAAACUCCUACGGGAGGCAGCAGCC
rnacentral:rRNA from 1 species